rnacentral:rRNA from 1 species
UACGGAGGGUGCAAGCGUUGUUCGGAAUCACUGGGCGUAAAGGGCGUGUAGGCGGUCCGCUAAGUCUGAUGUGAAAGCCCGGGGCUCACCCCCGGAAGUGCAUUGGAAACUGGCGGACUCGAGUCCCGGAGAGGAGGGUGGAAUUCCUGGUGUAGCGGUGAAAUGCGUAGAUAUCAGGAGGAACACCGGUGGCGAAGGCGGCCCUCUGGACGGUGACUGACGCUGAGACGCGAAAGCGUGGGGAGCAAACAGG